rnacentral:tRNA from 1 species
UAGGUUGAAGCCCGCUGGCUUGGGUGUWUAGUUGUUAACUAUGCAUUUACGGGAUCGAGGCCCGUCGGUCUAUA